UCAGAGCCGUGCCCCUUCAUUUCCCUAUUUCAGUGAUUGGAAAUUCGAUUACCAAUCGGAUCUGAAACCUAAGAUUUGAUCCAGUUUAUGAUCUGAGUAAAGUCAAACUAUCAUAUUCUUCUUGCUACUGGUUGAUGGAAAGCCAUAGGUUUUGCUACAGGAAGGAUAAUUCUCGGAUAGACUGAAGUGGUGCAAAACAGAGACUUCAAUAAAGUUUGGAAAUGUGGCAGAUGUGCCACUAUUUACAAUCCUGUGGGGAUACUAGAAGAUUUUGCAUUGCCUUGGUCAUGGUUGCAUAAUCCUUCGGUUGCUAACAGAGCCAAUGGUUUACUUCACCCUGAAGAGCUUUUUGUACAGGCUUGGUACACCCCCAAGACGA